GAAACGUCAAAAAGUAGUUGCAAUUUGUUAUUAACUCAUAUAAUUAAUUAAUGCUAUUAUAAUGAAUAGACAUAUUCGUAAUGUAUAUUUAAACUCGCAGCCAUGUUUUGCUGCACCCUGCAGCAGUAUAAAAUCCGAAAAGGACAGUAUAAGCCCCAUGUUUACAAAUCGUAACCCAAGACAUUUCAAAUAUCUACGAAUCGCUCAUAAACCGGACGGCUACUACGGUGAUAAAACUGGGACACUCCUACAGGCAUAAGUAUACAAAUUUGCUUUCCAAUAAGACAGUCCGAUCGUAGAUAACAACUGACACAAACAGGUCGUCUGCAUUGUUUGUGCACCACAUCAAUGGACCAACCCUCACCGCGAGCAAGAAAGAAUGGGCCAUGAAAACCAGGCUGUUUCAGUUCUUCGUACAAAGAUGCCUUGCAAGUGGUCGUGCGAUCGCAAACCCGAAUGCAACGGCAGUAAGAUCACAAAGUUUGUAACAUGCUACAAGAUUUCGGUUUGAAGUUGUCCGAGCCGGAGCAGUACAAGACGACAUUGCCAUAGACGAGAGAAAGAUUACCAAAACCGUGGGAUAUAAUCGAAUAAAAGCCGAUUUACAUUAUCAGUCAAGUCACAUUGCAGUCAAUUAUUACAGUCUGUAUUUCUUAAGGCCAAUUCACUAUAAGAAUAAGAAUUUUUUUUAUUUUUGCUCAAGUACAGCAUAACUAAGGUGCACUUUUUAUUAUUGUGUAGUUUAUUAUUAUUUAAUGUCUACUCUUAAAAAUCAAAUAAACGUUUUUUAUACAA